UCGAGAGGGAAACAGCCCAGAUCAUCGGUUAAGGCCCCUAAGCGUGUGCUAAGUGGGAAAGGAUGUGGAGUUGCACAGACAACCAGGAGGUUGGCUUAGAAGCAGCCACCCUUGAAAGAGUGCGUAAUAGCUCACUGGUCAAGUGAUUCCGCGCCGACAAUGUAGCGGGGCUCAAGCACACCGCCGAAACCGUGACUGCUAACAGUUUUACUGUUGGUUGGGUAGGGGAGCGUCGUGUACGAGGUGAAGCCGCCGUGUGAACGUGUGGUGGAUUGUGCACGAGUGAGAAUGCAGGCAUGAGUAGCGAAUGACGGGUGAGAAACCCGUCCGCCGGAUGACUAAGGGUUCCAGGGUCAAGCUAAUCUGCCCUGGGUAAGUCGGGACCUAAGGCGAGGCCGACAGGCGUAGUCGAUGGACAACGGGUUGAUAUUCCCGUACCGGCGAAGAACC
rnacentral:rRNA from 14 species